AAUCUUCCGCAAUGGACGAAAGUCUGACGGAGCGAUGCCGCGUGAGUGAUGAAGGUCUUCGGAUCGUAAAACUCUGUUGUUAGGGAAGAACAAGUAUCUGAGUAAUAUUCCGGUACCUUCACGGUACCUAACCAGAAAGCCCGGGCUAAUUACGCUCCAGCAGCCGCGGUAAUACGGAGGGGGCGAGCGUUUUCCGGAAUUAUUGGGCGUAAAGGGCACGCAGGCGGUUAUUUAAGUCUGAUGUGAAAUCUUGUGGCUUAACCACAAGCGGUCAUUGGAAACUGGAUAACUUGAGUACAGAAGAGGAGAGUGGAAUUCCACGUGUAGCGGUGAAAUGCGUAGAGAUGUGGAGGAACACCAGUGGCGAAGGCGGCUCUCUGGUCUGUAACUGACGCUGAGGUGCGAAAGCGUGGGUAGCGAACA
rnacentral:rRNA from 1 species